GACGAACGCUGGCGGCGUGCUUAACACAUGCAAGUCGAACGGAAAGGCCCUGCUUUUGUGGGGUACUCGAGUGGCGAACGGGUGAGUAACACGUGAGUAACCUGCCCUUGACUUUGGGAUAACUUCAGGAAACUGGGGCUAAUACCGGAUAGGAGCUCCUGCUGCAUGGUGGGGGUUGGAAAGUUUCGGCGGUUGGGGAUGGACUCGCGGCUUAUCAGCUUGUUGGUGGGGUAGUGGCUUACCAAGGCUUUGACGGGUAGCCGGCCUGAGAGGGUGACCGGCCACAUUGGGACUGAGAUACGGCCCAGACUCCUACGGGAGGCAGCAGUGGGGAAUAUUGCACAAUGGGCGGAAGCCUGAUGCAGCAACGCCGCGUGCGGGAGGACGGCCUUCGGGUUGUAAACCGCUUUCGCCUGUGACGAAGCGUGAGUGACGGUAAUGGGUAAAGAAGCACCGGCUAACUACGU
rnacentral:rRNA from 1 species